CACGUAGGGCGCGAGCGUUGUCCGGAAUUAUUGGGCGUAAAGAGCUCGUAGGCGGCCUGUUGCGUCCGCUGUGAAAGCCCGGGGCUUAACCCCGGGUCGGCAGUGGAUACGGGCAGGCUAGAGGUAGGUAGGGGAGAAUGGAAUUCCCGGUGUAGCGGUGAAAUGCGUAGAUAUCGGAAGGAACACCAGUGGCGAAAGCGGCUUCCUGGUCCAGCACUGACACUGAGGCACGAAAGCGUGGGGAGCAAACAGG
rnacentral:rRNA from 1 species